CUUCACUGUGAAGCAAACACAAGCUUUCGACAGAAGAGGAGAAAACACACAACAACAACAUCUCGAUGCAAAGCUCUCUCGAAUAAGGUGUCUCGGCUAUUCCAAGGCUGGACCUAACAUUCAGUAUAAGGCGUGAACAAACCCUAACAAAGUAUGCAGCAAGUGAGAGAAUCGGCCUACGAUCUUGACCAACAUGGCCAAACCACUACAACCACUAAGUUAAUAUAUUGGAGGGUUGUAGUGAAACUACACCGGGUUUAGUUUUAACAAUGUACAAAUCAUAUUAAUAUUUCUUAUAUGAAGACAAGUUUUCUGGA